rnacentral:rRNA from 1 species
AGUGAACGCUGGCGGUAGGCCUAACACAUGCAAGUCGAACGGCAGCACAGUAAGAGCUUGCUCUUACGGGUGGCGAGUGGCGGACGGGUGAGGAAUACAUCGGAAUCUACUUUUUCGUGGGGGAUAACGUAGGGAAACUUACGCUAAUACCGCAUACGACCUACGGGUGAAAGCAGGGGAUCUUCGGACCUUGCGCGAUUGAAUGAGCCGAUGUCGGAUUAGCUAGUUGGCGGGGUAAAGGCCCACCAAGGCGACGAUCCGUAGCUGGUCUGAGAGGAUGAUCAGCCACACUGGAACUGAGACACGGUCCAGACUCUACGGGAGGCAGCAGUGGGGAAUAUUGGACAAUGGGCGCAAGCCUGAUCCAGCCAUACCGCGUGGGUGAAGAAGGCCUUCGGGUUGUAAAGCCCUUUUGUUGGGAAAGAAAAGCAGCAGGUUAAUACCCCGCUGUUCUGACGGUACCCAAAGAAUAAGCACCGGCUAACUUCGUG